CGGAAGUUCAUUAUGAUGCCAGUUCUCAUCCAAGGCCCUAAGCAACCCGGCAACGACAUUGAUGUGUACCUAAGGCCAUUAGUUGCAGAACUUUUACAGCUGUGGAAUGGAAACGGUGUACGUACGUGGGAUGAGCACAAACAGGAGGAAUUUAACCUGCACGCCUUGCUGUUUGUAACCAUCAACGAUUGGCCCGCUCUCAGUAACCUUUCAGGACAGACAAACAAGGGAUACCACGCAUGCACGCACUGUUUAGAUGACACUGAAAGUAUAUACCUGGACAAAAGCAGGAAGAAU
rnacentral:rRNA from 1 species